rnacentral:rRNA from 1 species
CACCGCGGUUAUACGAGGGGUCCAAGUUGAUAGAAACCGGCGUAAAGAGUGGUUAGGGCACCCACUUAAAACUAAAGCCAAACACCUUCAGAGCUGUUAUACGCACCCGAAGGCAUGAAGAACCACCACGAAAGUGGCUUUAUUAACCCUGAACCCACGAAAGCUAUGUCA